AAGAGGAAGGUCUGCUCCGCUGAAGGGGCCGCCAAGGAAGAGCCCAAGAGGAGAUCUGCGCGAUUGUCAGCUAAACCUCCUGCAAAAGUGGAAGCAAAGCCGAAAAAGGCUUUGCAAAGGACAAAUCUUCAGACAAAAAAGUGCAAACAAAACGGAAAAGGGGAGCAAAGGGAAGACAGGCCAAAGUGGCUAACCAACAAACUAAAGAAGAUUUACCUGCAGAAAACAGGGAAAGGAAAACUGAGGAGAGUCCAGCCUCUGAUGAAGCAGGAGCCAAGACUGAUUAGCACCAUAUACAAUGUCUUAUCAGUGGUCCCUGUCUCCCUUCUUGUACAAUCCAGAGGAACAUUUUUAUCAACUAUUUUGUAAAUGCAAGUUUUUUAGUAGCUCUAGAAACAUUUUUAAGAAGGAGGGAAUCACACCUUAUCCCAUUUUUAAGUGUAAAUGCUUUUUUUUUAAGAGUUGAAAUCGUUUGUUGGUUGUUUAUUUUUUGGUACAACCAGAAAAUAGUGUGGGAUAUUGAAUUAUGGGAGUCUUUGACCGUCUCGGGUGCCAGCUUAACAUUCCAUAGAUGGUGGGUUAGUUUUUAUAUCC
rnacentral:lncRNA from 1 species